UACGGAGGGUGCGAGCGUUGUCCGGAAUCACUGGGCGUAAAGGGCGCGUAGGCGGUUGUUUAAGUUUGGUGUGAAAUCUCCCGGCUCAACUGGGAGGGUGCGCCGAAUACUGAAUGACUAGAGUGCGGGAGAGGUGAGUGGAAUUCCUGGUGUAGCGGUGAAAUGCGUAGAUAUCAGGAGGAACACCGGUGGUGUAGACGGCUCACUGGACCGUAACUGACGCUGAGACACGAAAGCGUGGGUAGCAAACAGG
rnacentral:rRNA from 1 species